rnacentral:lncRNA from 1 species
UCUAAAAGUUGUCUUUAUAAAUAUUGUAGAUGUCCAACGUCAACCUCAACUUCAACGCAUUCCUAGAGAAAAAACAAGCUGAAAGAUGAUGGUAGCAACUAUGCGGACUGGGUUCGCAACCUGAAGCUCAUCCUUGAAGCAGCUAAAAAGGCUUAUGUCCUUAAUGCGCCGCUAGGUGACCCUCCCGCUCCCGCAGCAGCGCAGGAC